UACGUAGGGGGCAAGCGUUGUCCGGAUUUAUUGGGCGUAAAGAGCGUGUAGGCGGCCAUGUAGGUCCGUUGUGAAAACUCGAGGCUCAACCUCGAGACGCCGAUGGAAACCAUGUGGCUAGAGUCCGGAAGAGGAGAGUGGAAUUCCUGGUGUAGCGGUGAAAUGCGCAGAUAUCAGGAGGAACACCGAUGGCGAAGGCAGGUCUCUGGGCAUUAACUGACGCUGAGGAGCGAAAGCAUGGGGAGCGAGCAGG
rnacentral:rRNA from 1 species